rnacentral:rRNA from 1 species
UGGGGAAUUUUGGACAAUGGGCGAAAGCCUGAUCCAGCAAUGCCGCGUGAGUGAAGAAGGCCUUCGGGUUGUAAAGCUCUUUUGUCAGGGAAGAAACGGUGAAAGCUAAUAUCUUUUGCUAAUGACGGUACCUGAAGAAUAAGCACCGGCUAACUACGUGCCAGCAGCCGCGGUAAUACGUAGGGUGCAAGCGUUAAUCGGAAUUACUGGGCGUAAAGCGUGCGCAGGCGGUUUUGUAAGUCUGAUGUGAAAUCCCCGGGCUCAACCUGGGAAUUGCAUUGGAGACUGCAAGGCUAGAAUCUGGCAGAGGGGGUAGAAUUCCACGUGUAGCAGUGAAAUGCGUAGAUAUGUGGAGGAACACCGAUGGCGAAGGCAGCCCCCUGGGUCAAGAUUGACGCUC